rnacentral:sRNA from 1 species
AGUUGGCGACGAAGAGCCACGGCGCGUCGUCAUGCACGAUCGACUGGACCUCGCCAUAGAGCUUGCCGCGUUCGGCCUGGUCGGUGGACCU